rnacentral:rRNA from 1 species
UACGUAGGGUGCAAGCGUUAUCCGGAAUUAUUGGGCGUAAAGAGCUCGUAGGCGGUUUGUCGCGUCUGCUGUGAAAACUGGAGGCUCAACCUCCAGCCUGCAGUGGGUACGGGCAGACUAGAGUGCGGUAGGGGAGAUUGGAAUUCCUGGUGUAGCGGUGAAAUGCGCAGAUAUCAGGAGGAACACCAAUGGCGAAGGCAGCACUCUGGGACGGUACUGACGCUGAGACGCGAAGGCGUGGGGAGCAAACAGG